AGUGUCCAUUAUUUCCUCAGGGAGCAAGCUGUUUACUUCUGCCGAAACCACCUCCAUUUCAGCAGUUGUGGCAGUGAUGACUGUAGCAGAAAUCUCAUGCAAGCAAACAGCUGUCUGGCAAUGGGCUCUGUUAGCCCCAGAAGCUCUAUCAGCAGCCUACCUUGGGACCAAGGAAAACUGCCCUUCCACCACAAGGUUCAAGAAGAUUGACCAGGCCUGUCUGAAGGUGUUAGUAAUGCUACUUAUAAACCAAUUUCAGAAAUGUCAUUUCACCAGUAGAGAAGGAGACUGAAUGAGAAACACCUCCUGUAUCCACACCCAACACGAAGUACAAAAACAAAAAUGCAAAACAAAGAAAAUCCAAAUCCAAAAGCUUCAUAAAUACAUCAAGUACAACAGAGCCCCUGAAGAACUGAGAUUGCCUUGCGAUGAACAGAAGCACUGCCAGGUGCAUGUAGGACACAAAAAGAAAGCAUCUUGCAAUUCUAUGACCUUGGAACAGUUACUAAGUUCUCCAUACUGCGGUCAUUGACAUAAAUGCUACAAAAGAGCAAGGACAGUUGGAGCACAGUUAACCAAAAAGCACCCAGAGGAAUAGAAAUUGUUCUGUCGUGGACGCAGUUUAAAAAAAUAAACAUAUUUUACUGAAGUUUAGCAGAAAUCGUGUUCCAUUUGCCUUGAAACAGGUAUGUUUUAUCAACAUAAAGAUAUGAAAAACCAAUGCCUUAACCAUGAAGUCUUCAACCGAUCAUACUCAAAGCCUAGGAAGUGAUGCGUGCAGCAUGACCACACGGCCAUUCUUCACCACAAUCCCUCUGAUACAAACAUGCUGCAAGACUCAACAAUCCCAUGACCCGCCACUGUUUUCUUCACAGCAAAAUGAAUUCUCACACGCAAGGAAUCACAGCGUGCUACCACAGAAAUUAGAUUAUACACACAGAGUACAAAAGCAGUUCUCACAAUAGAAGUAAAAGUCCUUAAAUAUAGUACAUGACCAAAAAUCCCCAUGAGUCAGAAAACCUUUCAUGCGAAACAGAAGCUCGAAGGAAAGAGGGGAAAAACACAAGUUUUUCAUGACAGCAGUACAUCAUACAAGUCAUCAAUGCUUGAACUACAUUACACAUAUAUGCGAGUGACCUGCUAUCUAGAAAACAGUCCUUUUAAAACAGAUCUAAUCUGGAUUGGACAAUCCCCUUUUCACCACAAGAACCAUUGGUACACUGCCCAAGUGUAUCAUUAAGUAUGAAACAAGAUUAGCAAGAAAGAUGUUUCUCCUACUCUUGAUUACAAAAGCGUACUGAAAAGCAUUACAAAUAAUAUAAAAGAAAAAAACCAAAACCAACAAAAACCAAAAACCAUCCCAGGCACUUUCCCAGAAUGACUCCUAUCUAGAAAACUAAACCACUUUAAGGUCAAGUUACUUUUCUAUGCAUAGCUCACAGCUGUUACCCAGCUUUCACAUGCUAACUAAAUGUUCAUCAAGAAGGUAGCAAAACCAUGUCAUAUUAGUAACGUUAGUCUGCACUUCAUGGCGUAUCUACAUUUCAAAUUGCACAUAUCUGUAGUUUUUCAAGUAGUCAACACUUUCUGUGUUUGCUAGUUGUAGCUUGUAGCAAGUGGAAAACUUGCACUCAUGCCUGCUUCUGAAGAUUAACCAUGAUCAGCUGAUGGUAAAUCUGCUCCUCGAGGGCAACUUAGUGCCCUUUGAGGGUCUAUUCCUUGUUGGUGCCAAGAAAACUCUGGCUUAUGCUUAACAGCAAAACUACUACUGUCUUGGGAACACUGCCUGUCAAUCUAACAGCACUCCUUUCUGCAUGUACAUUGAUACACGCAUAUUUGAGAAGUGACUGGCACGUCCAAGUGAAGUAGGCAGAAAAAAAAUUAAAUAAUUAGGAUAUCAAUUUAUGCUCCGAUUACUAACAAAUAAAAGUUUGCAUGAAGGAGACUCCAUACCCACCUCCACAUUCUCCUCUUCUCUUAGGAAGGAGUGGUGUAGCGAUGAGGCUUAGCACUGCAUGCUCAGUGCACACCCUCCUAUUGCAACCUUCCAGGAAAGACCUGGAUAUAUAGAAUAUUCAUUGCAGCAGAACACUAAGUGUCCCCAUUUGCCUUCUGUAACUGGAAACAACAAUCUGCUACCAAGUAGACCUUCAGUGCAAACUAAAAGAUAGAAACUAAAAAAAGAUCAGAAUAUUUCCCUUCUCCCUCCUUUGGCUUGCACUGCCAAUUGCCCUCAUUUUCAUGGUAAUACAACAGCACAAACUUUAAAAAAAAAAAGUCCCAUGUUCUUAUGAUCUCACGUGAUCAUUAAAUACAUUUUGCAGGUGUUCAUUACCACAAAUAAUCCAAGUUUUGUGUCUGUAGAUUUUGUACAUUUAAGGAAGCAUUUCAUAAUAACCUCAGGCUCUAUGCAAACUUUGUGGUGAGACCGAAAGAAAUACCCAUACAAUAACAUCGACAUAAAAUUUCUGGAGCACUGAGGAAGCUAAAAGUAAUGCAUUAGGAAUCUGAUAUCAAAAUGAGUAUGGAUGUAGGAAACUUAGCUCAACUGAAAAGCUAACAGAAAGGUAAAAGCUAUAGGCCCAAGAAACACAGAUUUGAGAAAAAGUGCUUCUUUCCAGUCUUCUAAACAUAGCUUGAAAUAAAGGUUUUGCUUUCCAAGCUGAGGAUGCCUCCUGAAUGCCAGCCGACAGAAGAAGUCAGACCACAUGGCGCUAUCGCCCCAAACACACACUGGAAAACAAGCAGCACAGAAGCUGCCAUCGCAGGCUUGAUAUCCAGCUCCCCACAGACUGCUAACAGGUGUUAUCAUACCAGGCACCUUUUAAGGUUAGGCUCACUGCCAACAAUUUCUGCAAGAGUGUAUUUUAGUCUUGUAUUUACGUGCAAAGGUUCAUCGUAAUGGAGCCAUAAACCAUCCACUUUACUGAGGCUUGGCAAAACCAGAAGCACAAUGGUUACGCAGCGCGUUACAUGCAUACUUCAGCACCACGGCCCCACCAGGAUGCAAAAUACAUCACCCAGCUUACUCUAACUGAAACAAAAACACGUGCGAUGCUGAUUUCAGCAUGGUAAUUCACUUCCAAAAAUACACUACAACGUGGCACAGGAAAGCGUUUUUUAUUAGCGACUCACAGAAUUACAGAAUCUCAGGGGUUACGUGUCUUAAGUAACUACUUUUAAUCUCUAAUUUCUUUUAACUUUUACAAGUAGAUAGAAAUCUGAGAUCAACCUGUAAUGCUUUCAAGAGAGUGCUGUCAGGAUUCAGAGAGUAGUGAAAGUUGUAAUAGCCUCUACUGCUUAUCUUAUCAGUGUGAGUUAGCUUUCUUCAGUUUUGAGUACAACUGAGCAAUAGAAGAAAGGCAACAACAUCUCUAUGAAGAGUCAGGUUGCAAUAAUUUGCCAGAAUCCUGCAUAUCUAGCUGCAGAUCUCAGCGGCUCUACCGGCCUUAAACACAACAAUGCUUCCCAAGUGCAGAAGUCUAUCUACUUGCAGAAGGACCGAGCUGAAGAUAAACAGCUUGCCUGCAGGCAAAUCAUGAUUUGGCUUUGAUGCCAAAAACAUAAUUACUCCUCCCUUACACUUAAAUCUCUAGAUAGAAGACUUUCAUACUGCUUUUGAAAGAAAGUGAUUCGAAUAACCACAUUGCACAGCAUCUGGCUUGCUUUUGUGGAAUCAAUUCCACGUGAAGAUUUUGAGACAAGAUAUCAAUACAAUAGGAGAAAUGGGAAUUUCAGUGAAAUCUUGGUUUCUGCGCCGCAAGUAUAUGGGCCACUUCAAAUUCAAGCUUCUCAGAUGUCUGAAGAUGGUAACGCAAAUGGCUGAAGAACUGAAGAA